UACGGAGGGUGCGAGCGUUGUCCGGAAUCACUGGGCGUAAAGGGCGCGUAGGCGGCAGGCCAAGCGUGUGGUGAAAGCCCGGGGCUCAACCCCGGGUCGGCCAUGCGGACUGGCGUGCUUGAGCACUGUAGGGGCGGGUGGAAUUCCGGGUGUAGCGGUGGAAUGCGUAGAGAUCCGGAAGAACACCGGUGGCGAAGGCGGCCCGCUGGGCAGGAAGAUGGAGCAAUCCAUCGGCUGACGCUGAGGCGCGACAGCGUGGGGGAGCAAACGGG
rnacentral:rRNA from 1 species